rnacentral:rRNA from 1 species
CCUACGGGAGGCUGCAGUGGGGAAUAUUGGGCAAUGGGCGCAAGCCUGACCCAGCAACGCCGCGUGAAGGAAGAAGGCUUUCGGGUUGUAAACUUCUUUUCUCAGGGACGAAGAAAGUGACGGUACCUGAGGAAUAAGCCACGGCUAACUACGUGCCAGCAGCCGCGGUAAUCCGUAGGUGGCAAGCGUUAUCCGGAUUUACUGGGUGUAAAGGGCGUGUAGGCGGGGAAGCAAGUCAGAGGUGAAAACCGCGGGCUCAACCUGUGGCCUGCAUUUGAAACUGUUUUUCUUGAGUACUGGAGAGGCAGACGGAAUUCCUAGUGUAGCGGUGAAAUGCGUAGAUAUUAGGAGGAACACCAGUGGCGAAGGCGGUCUGCUGGACAGCAACUGACGCUGAGGCGCGAAAGCGUGGGGAGCAAACAGGAUUAGAUACCCCUGUAGUC